rnacentral:lncRNA from 10 species
UAAUUCUGGUGAGCAAAUGGAAAAACUUAUUAUAGACAGACAGAUCCAAGAAAUAUUCACUCUAAUAGAGUUAGGUAGAAAGGCAGACUUUUUGGUCAAGGAAUAUGAGACUAGUUUUCACAUUUUCUUCAUUUUCUUAUAAUAAAUGUAAAUGUCAGUUGAGAAUGGGAGGAAAAGAAGGGGUAGUAUAUCUUCAUUUGAAGGGUAGUAAAAUAACUUGAGCAGUAAAGCAUAUUAAGAAUUGUUGGAACCACUUAGGGUCCACUGAGGUUGAGAUAAUGUAUUUAGAAUGAGACCAUGUCGUGUGAUUGAGUGCGUGCAAUGGCAUUCAGAUGUUUUCUUGCAGAUACUGAAAGAGAGUUACACAUUAACAGACUUGAGAUUUUGAAAAGCAACAGAUUAUUGUGGGAGAGAGAGGCAGGGGAAAUAGGUAAGUGAGCAAGCAGAGAUUGUAAUUGUGGAUUAAUAUGGAGGAAAGUGAGAACAUGACAGAAAUAAAUGGGCACUGGAAAGAUGAAUAAUGUAAUUGCUACCAUUAAACUGGAUUCAGCUUUGUAACUGCAAAAGACAAAAGUCUAGGGGCCUAUUGUCAAAGGGUGACUCUUGAAUGUUGAGAGGAUGGUAUCUGUCACUGAGGAUUAUCUGGAACUUGAUGGCCUGAAGGUGAGAGGAGACAAAUCAGGUUCUUACAUUUAGAAGAAUGUUGAGAGCAACUGUCAAAGUCUUACAGUUGAUUAUAAACCACCUUUUGAAGAGGAUCAAAACAGGACAACAAGCAUCUGUGGAUGACAAAACAUAGUACAACAACUACAGUUAGACAUAAUUGGCAAGGAAAUUUGUUACCUCUGUGAAACAAAAUAAUUUAACAUAACAAUUAUAAUGAUUACUGAUAAUGUAUACUAAGUUAUAUCGGAAUUAUAGGGGUUUCACAUAAUUUUGGAACAUGUACCAAUAACACAUUUAUAAUGAAC